ACAGAGGUGCCAAGCGUUAGGCGGAAUUACUGGGCUUAAAGCGCGUGUAGGUGGCGGCCUAAGUACCUUGUGAAAUCCUGCGGCUCAACCGCAGAACUGCUUGGUAUACUGGGUCGCUUGAGCCAUCCAGGGGCAACUGGAACAAGCGGUGGAGCGGUGAAAUGCGUAGAUAUCGCUUGGAACGCCAAAGGUGAAAACAGGUUGCCGGGGAUGCGCUGACACUGAGACGCGAAAGCCAGGGGAGCGAACGGGA
rnacentral:rRNA from 1 species